rnacentral:rRNA from 1 species
AGAGCGAACGCUGGCGGCAGGCCUAACACAUGCAAGUCGAGCGCCCGUAGCAAUACGGGAGCGGCAGACGGGAUAGUAACACGUGGGAACGCGCCCUUCGGUUCGGAAUAACUCAGGGAAACUUGAGCUAAUACCGGAUACGCCCUUACGGGGAAAGAUUUAUUGCCGAAGGAACGGCCCGCGUCCGAUUAGCUAGUUGGUGAGGUAAUGGCUCACCAAGGCGACGAUCGGUAGCUGGUCUGAGAGGAUGACCAGCAUCACUGGGACUGAGACACGGCCCAGACUCCUACGGGAGGCAGCAGUGGGGAAUAUGGACAAUGGCGCAAGCCUGAUCCAGCCAUGCCGCGUGAGUGAUGAAGGCCUUAGGGUUGUAAAGCUCUUUCAGUGGGGAAGAUAAUGACGGUACCCACAGAAGAGCCCCGGCUAACUUCGUGCCAGCAGCCGC